rnacentral:rRNA from 1 species
CCGUCACACCAUGAGAGUCGGGAACACCCGAAGUCCGUAGUCUAACCGCAAGGGGACGCGGCCGAAGGUGGGUUCGAUAAUUGGGUGAAGUCGUAACAAGGUAGC